CAGGGAGCCCAGAGAUUACCACUCAGACACAAUUUACAGCCAAUUGAAAGUCUUUGUUCCAGUCGGCUGGGACUACACUCAGCGACACACUCUUCAGCUAAGGAUGGGACCAUGCCUGGACAAGCAUUACAAACAGAAAACAGCCUAAGGUUGGAGCCCAGGGCUCUCCCGUCCUAUAAGAUUCCUUCCCUGUCAAGACUAUCUGCCAGAGCUGGACACACCACAGCGCAGAUCAGAGUCUACAGUCUAGAGCGUCGUGUCAAGCUGUUCUGACUGAGCAUCCCAUUAAGAGUAGCUGGGGCCUUUUUAGGAAGACCCUGGCCGCCUGUCGUGAGGGGAGAGAAGUGACAAACAGAAGUACUGCUGGUCAAAUACCAAAGAUAGGCUGGAAGGGAGAGGUCUUUGUGGAUGACCCAUAACUUUAAUUUAUUCAGCUUCAUCGAUUAUUUUAUUUUUUUUAAUUCCUCAAGACUUUUACUUUACUGCUUCAUUAAGUCAAAAUACUACCAUCCUAGGUAGAGUUUUAUCAUCCCAGGAACUACCUCUACUUUUAAUUGAAAAAAAAAUUGGGGCAGGGAUAAGAAAAGGCAAGCCUGUUGUGGACCACGCUAGGAGCUCAGUCACCCCAAGGAGGCACUGUGGACUGGGAUUGCUGCUACUUAAAGUCAAGGAUAGAGAUGCUGCAGGCUUGAAGUAAACAACUCAGAAGCUUCAGGAAGUCCCUGAAACUGAUCAGAAGUACUAGAUCCCUCCUCUCCUCCCCAAGUUUAUAGAAACAGUAAAGACUGCUGAAAGACACUCCCCAAUAAGCCAGGCUGCCUGAAGAGGCAAAGACCACUGGGCUUCUUCGAAGAGGCUCAGACCAACUUAAUCUACCUGGAGGAAACACUCUCCAGUCAGUUGAGCUACCUGCAAAUUGUUUCCAGUUUUCCUAAGUUCUUUACUCAUGCUGGGGUAGACUUUGAUGAUGCAGCUUUCUUGGAGUCAUUUCUGCUCCUGUAAAUAACCCCUCAUCCAUAUUUCUGUAAGCAACCCCCAAUAAACUCAU